rnacentral:lncRNA from 1 species
UUUUGGUGGUGUUUUGAGAAUGCAUUGUCUGAUGCUGCAAGCAGAAGAUUAGUUUCUGUGCAGAGAAAGGGAUGUGAGAGGAGACAACAUAUGUGUCUUCUCUAUCUCACCAUCUUUAAUCAUGAACCCUUGGGCCUAUGGCAAAUCAGAAUCUGUAGCUCCUUGGCCUUUUGUUGCGGUUUGUGGUGGUUCCUGUACCCUAACCAUGGGG